rnacentral:lncRNA from 1 species
GAAGGGUGCUCAGAAGUCACCAGUCCAACCUCCUACUGAGAGCAGCAUCACCUCUGAUCUCAGACCAGUUGCUCAGGGUUUUAUCCAGUCAGGUCUGGAUGGAAAGCACAGCUUCCCUAGGGAACUUGCUCCAAUUCUGAUCUGGUAGGGAAAAAUAGUUUAUGGGAUCCAGUAAGAACUUUAAUGACAGAGACACAUUUAUAUUGUUGUGCACUAUUGGGAUAGAUCUGCCACAGGAAUUGGGGAAUUCCACAUUUAUUGUUACCUUUAUGACUGGAUAAUUUUCUGGGAAACAUGUCUUUUAUCAAAGAGAUGUGCAGUCCUGUACGGCUCAGUCUUGGAGCUGGGAUGUGGAAAUCUGUCCUUCCACCUCUUCUCUGAAAAUUUCAUUUGGCAAGUUCAUACAGAAAUCAUCUCCAGGAAGCCAGUCCUUAAGCUGAAAACUAGGAAGGAGGAGUCUUGAAAAGGUUCCUGCACCUGCUAUGGCCAACUGGUGAUGGCUCAGCCCUCAGUGUGUGCUGGGAGGGAUGGCCAGUGGCUGCAGUCCAAAGGGGAGUGUCACUGCUGCAUUGCUUUUGAGAUGACCACAACAGUGGGAUUUGGCUCAUAAAGGUUGGUUUGCUUUCAUCCAGUUCAGAGAUAUGAGAGGUGCAUAGGAAUAAGCUGUAGAAAGCUAUAAAAGUACUCUAAAGGAGGUUGAUUUAUU